UGGUUAUUGGUGUAAUGGCAGCACGGCAGAUUGUGGUUCUGUUAGUAUCAGUUCGAUCCUGAUAUAUCCACCCA
rnacentral:tRNA from 2 species